GCUGCUGUGCUACAACCACAGGGGACUUUGCAGCAGCCAAGGCUCAUGGAGCGAUCACAGGCCCCUUAAACCCUGGCUCACCACGGAACGGGAGCGCUGCCAGGGCCCGCCCCGCCGCCGGACGCAUCAGCUCCCUUAGCUGCAAGCCCGCGCGCGCCUCGGCUCCCAAGCGGCCCAUACACCCCAGCAGGCAGCACCUCCGCGUGAGCGCCGGCCAGCGCGCGCUCCGCUUCCUCCGAACUCCGGGCAGCGGAAACCCGCGCUGCCUGCUGGGAGUUGUAGUUCCCAGCGCACCCCCGCCCCUCCCCACGCCAGAGCGGCGGCUGUCGGUGCGGGUCUCAGCAGGGGUGGCGCGCGGGAAGCGCGACGGGGCGCUGCCGGCCACUCGCAGCUAGCUAGGGCUCCUCCAAGCAGCCUACUCUCCCCCCGGCCCGGCCCGGCCCGGCCCUCUUCACUGCUGCUGCUGCUGGGACUUCUCCUUUCCUCACGUGUGACACGUGAAGAGGCCGGUGCCCAGCCGCGGCUGGGCGCAUCCUGCCUCCCUGCUGGGCGGGGGCUGCCAGCAGCGUGAGGCACGUGGGCGGGGAUCUGCUCUCCCAGCAGGCCCAGACACCCACCUGACAGCCUGCUCGCCUAGAUGCAGGGAACCAACAGAUGAAAAUGACUAUAAAUAUUUACAGUAUCCAGAGGGGAGGCUGUUGUUUGGGAGCUGGUCGUGGCGAACAGACUGACAGACACAAACACCCAUGUAGGGUCUAAAAGAACUAGGCUUUCCAAGGUUUCCAGGAGGAUGGUAAGCCGCAGGUUACAUUAAGAGAACAUGCUGUGAGAUAAGAAUUGCUUCUCAGAAGGAGGUGUCUGCCUGAACCACUAUGAAGGGUCUGCUUUUACUUCUUGUCGGAGCUCCUGAAAUCCUGUCUGCAGCCCUGGUUGGGAGUAGGAGCCGGUGAGUUUCUGCCUUGAGACUCCAUGCUGGAAGAAGUUGGUGUGACACCGCCUUGCUGAGCUUGUGUACUGGGAGGAGGAGAAGCCAGAGAGCUGUCACCAUGCUGAACUGGUGUGGGAGGAGCCGUAGAUCUCAAAUUGCUUUAUGAAAGAAGUCUGUGGCGUGGGCUAAGAGGAGAAGAAACUGCACCUAGAAGGAUGGUGUUUCUCCAUGACAUAAUCCCCGCCUCAAAGACAUGGGUCUUUAACAGAUUCUGUGCCUGUGAUCUCCUGAUAAUGCUCUAUUACUAUAAUGGAACAUCUGGGACCCAGGUCGCUCCAUCCAAAAUCAGAGUAACUCCAAUUAAGUUCUGUCCAAUCUCUUUAACGUGGGCAGAAAGACACUCUACUCCCUUUGUUUAUUUAUUUAUUAUUAAAAAAGAAAGAGUUAGACCUUCUUUCAUAACUUUAAGGUCAUAUUUUCCCCUCAGCUCUUUGAACUUAAUCAAAGUCCCCCCUGCACAGCCAAGCAUAGGAUUUAUUCCUUGAAUUGAAAAGCAUUUCAUACUGGUCCAUGCUCUGUCCUCACCCACAGACAUGAAAAUCUACUGAAGUGAGGGGAGUUGCAAAAUUGCACCUGAGGGUGCACUGAGAUUCACUGUGUCUAAUGGAAAACCUCUCACACACAACAGGAUAACGGUUAUUUAUUAAUAAAUUCCUUAACUAUCCUAAUUACUGUCUGAUAAUAAGUAAACCUCAGUAAUGAUAAUUUUUUCUUUAUAUCAGGGGUAGGCAAU